rnacentral:rRNA from 1 species
UUAAAUAGUACUUUAAAAAUACUUAAUUAUUAAAAGUUAUAUUCUUAAAAAUUAAAAAAUUUGGCGGUAUUUUUUUCUAUUCAGAGGAACUUGUUUUAUAAUAGAUAUUACACAAUAUAUCUUACUUAAAAUUGUUUUCAAUUUGUGUAUUAUUGUUAUAAGAAAAUAUUUAAUAAAAAUAAAAAAUUUUCUAAAAUUUUAAUUUUAAAAUUAAAUCAAAUCAAAGUGCAGUUUAUUUUUAAGAAUUUAAUGAGUUACAAUAAAUAUUAUUUAUUUACGAAAUAAAAUUUUAAAAAAAUUUUUUGAAGGUGGAUUUGAAUGUAAAUUUAAUUAAUUAAAUUAAAUUGAUAAAAGAUUUAAAAUAUGU